rnacentral:rRNA from 1 species
CGAUACUUGGUGUGAAUUGCAGAAUCCCGUGAACCAUCGAGUCUUUGAACGCAAGUUGCGCCCGAAGCCUUAGGCCGAGGGCACGUCUGCCUGGGCGUCUCGCAUCGCGUCGCCCCCCCUCCUCGCUCGCCCCGUGCGAGCGGGCGCGGGGGGCGGAUAAUGGCCUCCCGUGCGCUACCGCGUGCGGCCGGCCCAAAUGCGAACCCGCGGCGAUGCACGUCACGACCAGUGGUGGUUGGAAUCUCAACUCGCGUGCUGUCGUGCGAUACGGCAUCGUCCUCGGGGACCAUUAACGACCCAAAGGCGCUCGCGUGCGUUCUUGCUGCGCGCGCCACAGCGCUUCCGACCGCGACCCCAGGUCAGGCGGGAUUACCCG